CGCGCCUGGCGCAUGCGCAUUCGCGUGCCCGGCUGGCGCUGCCGCAACGUCAGGGCUCUCAGGGCCCAUAGGAAAACGGUGGAGGCCGUGCUGGCUGCGGCCCGGGGAAGAAGGCUGCGUGAGACCAGCAGCGCAGGACCCUGACAGUCCUGACCUCAGUGCCUCCUUCAGCCCACUUCGUGUACGGGUCUGGGUGGAGGAGGAGGCGCUUCAGACCUUGAGGUGGGCACUCGGGACUGCUCUCUGAUUUGAUUCUAGAUUGGAGGGUGUGGGCAGGAAUCAGGUCCCAUGGGGCUGGGGAUCCAAUCUGGUGAGGAGUUGAGGGGUCGCUGGGGUAGGAAAACAUACCUGAGACCCCAGUGGAGGGUGUGAGCAGGACAUUCCCUCGCCCCAUGAGCUGACUGGCCCCCUUUCGACCUGGGCCUCCCAGGGCCCUGUCCUGGUCUCCAAGACCAGGGCCUUCGGCUUCUCAGCAUUGCUGUCCAGAAAAGGCGGGAACAAGGACAAAGUCAAGCCCGAUGUGAAGCAGAGGUGGCAACACCUAAAACUGGCAUCCCAUGGGGGCAGAAAAUGUGGAGAGAGUGUCUCAGAGGCCUUCUGGGGUGAAUCCAAGCCCAAAAGGGAUAUCCAGGCAUGCUGGCGAGGGCCACUGAGGAUACCCCCAAGAAAGCGAAGCACAAGCAAAGCACACCUGAAACCAUAGGAGGGCCUGUGCCGGAGUCCAAGCCUCCUCCAGGGAUUCCUGCCAGAGGAGCCAAGAGGAUCCUGCAAAGUGAUCCAGCACCCACACCGGGAUCACAACCCACCACCGGGUCUACACCCAGCUAACCCCCAGUCCCUUUUGCUCCGUGAAAUCCCUGGCAACGAAAAGGUGCAGUGCUGAGAGGCAGUCCCAGCCAGGAACAGAGCAAUGGGAGACCCCUCAACAAUGAGAAAACACCAGCAGAUGAGAUGAAACAUAGCCUUCAUUAGAAGGCAAAGGCCAGCUACGGCUGGCUACCUCUCAUUCUAUGUGAAUCAUGCAGCCAUCUGAUGCAAUGGGGAGACCAAGAGUUUCCUUAUUGGGGAAAGCUACGGGCACCCACGGUUCCAAGAGCAUCACAGCUACCCAGUCAUUAAGAAAUGUGAGUGUUGAGAAGGAAACACUCAUCACCUACGUCCCCGCCAAGGUGGUCCUGGACGAACUGGGAAACAUUUGCUGUGAAGGACGUUCUGGAGGACUGUGAGCCAGACCAAGGAAAACCUGGGCCGACGAGAAUCAGGGAAGGCAAGAAAAGAGGGAGAACAGAGUAGAGGCCGCAGCCCAGGCAGGAUCAAUCCAUCCCACUCCCAUGUGCCUCGGGGAACCAGGGUCCAACAGGGGACCUGGCCAGAAAGGCGACAGUCUUCGGUCCAAAGGUUCUCCGAACACUCGUGUCUUCUAUCGCCAGCACAGCGCCAUGGUGUGGACAGGUUGUACAGUGAAGAGGAAAAGGGGAUGGCGUUGGAAACAGUUUCUUUGACAUCUGUCUGCACCUGUUCUGCAGGUGAAGGUGCGAGACCUCCUCCACACCUCAGCGGAUUGUAUCUUCACCCCCAUCUGACCUUUUUUCUGCACACAUCCUUUAAUCCAGAAUGAAAUCUGAAGAGGAUGAAGGAGUGCCCGCCUCAGGUCCUGAAGCUGCGACUCCGCCAGCCACCGAAUUAGAAGUGGGCUCAAGGGGGUACUGAGGACAGGACAGCUAGGGUCCGUCCAGCCUUGGGUGUGCCGCAGGACCAUGGGCCCCUGGAGGAAUUUGUUCUUGGUUGUCGUGUGCUGGUCUUCUUUCUGGAAGAGUGGGCGGCUUGGGAGGGGAGGUGAUUUGGACGUUUGCGGGUCGCAGCCAGCCCCCCACUUCACCGAGGCUUUAGGAACCAAGAGCGAAACAAAGAACGCUUGCCCCGCAACCCAAGCCCGGCCAAAGAGACGGGCGCAUCAGAGCGUAGGCGAACUACAGAGAAACCGCGCUUCACUGCACGAGCCACAUUUCUUUCACCGCACACCACACACACACUCACACGCACACACAGAAAGACACACGGAAACAUCCAACAGUCGCACAGAAACACACACAGCCAGGCAGCUCCUGAGGCUGCGCGGUUCUGCUCUCUGCCAGGAAACCCCUCCGGAAAGAGAGCGCCCCGGGGAACACAGGCAGGCCGUACCUCGAAAUCCCAGCGGGGACACCUGUCAGGGAGACGCACCCUCACACCGCCCAUGCAUGCCCGACGCAUCUUUGGGAUCCUUAGGGAUCACGUGGUGCUUCCUUGAAUCUCCGCUUGAGGUUUCUUCAGGCAGGUUCGGCCUUGCCCGACUCCUAGGAUCGCAGGACCAUGGCGACGAUCCCGCGGAGAGGGGACGCACUGCCACAGACGCCUGGGGGCCAAGCCGCUGGGGCCAGUCCCCCGGCAACGGUGGCGGUUACUGUGACGCGAGUCCCCCCUCAGCGCUAGCGCCUGGUGAUCGCGCCUGGUACGUGCACUUUCGCGUUCCCGGUUUGUGGGCCGCAUUGUCAGGGCUCUCAGGCUGCAGCCCAAUAGGAAAACAGUGGAGGCCGUGCAGGCGGCGGUUCGGGGAAGGAGACUGCAUGCGACAAGCAGCGCAGGACCCUGACUGUCGUGACCUCAGUGCCUCCUUGAGCCGACCUCGUGUUUGGGUCCGGGUGUAGGAGGAGGUGCUUCAGACCGUGAGGUGGGCACUCGGGAUUGCUCUUCUGAUUUGAUUCUGGACUGGAAUCAAAUUGGAAUUGACCCGGAAUUGGGUCCCACGGGGCUGGGGAACCAAUCUGGUGAGGUGUGGAGGGGUCGCUGGUGCACAGAAACAUACCGGAUACCCUCGGGGUGGGUGUCAGCAGAACAUUCCUCGGCUCCAUGAGCUGACUGCCUCCCUUUGAUCUGGGCCUCCCAGGGCUCUUCCUGCGUCUCCAAGCUCAGGGGCUCCUGCUUCUCAGCACUGCUGUCUGGAAAAGGCGGGAACGAGGACUAAGGCAAGCCCAGUGUGGGGCAGAGAUGGCAACACCUGGAACUAGCUUUUCAUGGGGGCAGAUAAUGUGGAGAGUGUCCCAAUUACAUCUCCCUUUAUUCUAUCCCAUACUACUAAACCCCACCAGCUAUUUGCCUACAAACUGUGUAUCAGUCAGGACAUCAGGACACCAAGAUAAAGGACUAGAGUUUGGUAAUCAACUACUGGCUCCUCCAGCAGCUCAGAAUGUGGCCUGUAUGCAUCACUUCACUUAAUUCAUUCAAGAAAUGCUGACUGAGUUCCUGCUGUGUGUUGGACACUUUCUUAGAAGUGGGACACACUGCAGUGUGUGGGACAAAGGCUGGGCCGCUCAUUGCUUAUGUUCUAGUUGAAGAGAGAGUCAAUCAACAACAUUCUACUUUCAGACAUUGAUAAAUGCUGUCAUGAAAAGACAAGGAACAUGAAAAGUUACGAAAUUUUCAGAAGAGGAGAAGAAAAGAAGAGGAGGGCAACUGAUAACCGGGAUACCACAGUCUCAGGACAGCUGAAGAGCACAGUUUAAUGGAGGAACACACUCCAGAGAGCGCCAGAAGCAGAAGUUCAGAGGCAUCCCUAAGAGUGGGCCAUCCAUCAGCCCUCAGGGUACAAUGGAUAUUGCUGGAAUGUCUUACAGAGCUGAAGGGAGAGGGGCAGUGAGUCUGAGGGUUAAUCAGCAGUGGUUAAGAUGGGCCCAGCUCAGCCAUUUCCUUCACACCUCCCCACCCCAACAUGGAAUUCACUGCUUCCUCUUCUCUGAUCCCACAGUCAUCUGUCUAUGGGAGUGAUUUAAAUUUGAGUGCAGAAAUUAGGGAAAGCAGGUAGCUCUGAAGCAUUUUAUCUGGAAAGUUUGUCACAACAGAGAAUAGGAAGCAGGAACAGGAGAAUCAUAGAAGCUUUUAUUUGUAAGAAUACCUGCAUGGGAAAGAUUCUGGAGAAAGAGAGAUGGACCAAGCACAUAAGGGCAGAGGUGCAAUCAAGUAGAGCCGAGAAAAACACUCAGAUAUGGGCGGUGGGGUUGCAUGGAGGUUGAAGAGUCAUUAACGUGGCUGAAGCUCUCGGAGGACUUUCAAGGCUUUUAAGAGAAGAAUGCUGAACAAAAUUCCAAAGGUGCCAGCCUCCUUCAGUACCCCUUUUGCUAGAUUUAUCACACUUACCCCAACAGUGGCAGCCCGGGCAUGCUGCCUCACCAAUCCAUGGUGCUUCUUCCUGCUCCAGUCUGAGGAUCACAUCUGGUUUGGUGCCUUCAUAACCUGUUCCGGGGAAAUUGAUGCAGGUCUUGGGCUGAGCUCCUUGGUCUUCAGGGCCUCUCAGGCAGCUUUAAAGGCUGCACAAUAGAUGUUAUACUUGGGAGGGGACUAAACACACACCUUGUCCAGAACCAAAUGGGAUUAGUAAUCCAGGACCAUGGAAACUCAAGCCACACCCACUGAGGCAGCAGCACAAGGUAAGAAUGCAUUCUGUGCUGCCAGAAUGCUGAGGUUCAAAUCCUGACUCUGCUAUCUACUAGCUGGGUGACUCUGGGCAAGUUACUUCACCUCUCUGUACCUCAAUUUCCAAAUGUGUAAAAAAGUGGUACUAAUAGUAACUACCUCAUAAGGCUUUUAUGAGAAUGAAAUGAGUUAAUAUUUUUAAAGUGGCUAAAACAAUUUCUGGCACAUAGAAAGUGCUAGAUAAUUAUUAAAUAAAUAUUUCAGAAGUUCUAGAGUA